GAAGUUAAACGGCGCGUGGCCUAAGGUAGCAUAAUAAUUUGUCUUUUCAUUGGAGGAUAGUAUGAAUGGACGAACGAAGCUCAGCUGUCUCUUACAAUCACAUAAAAAUUGAUUUUUAGGUGAAAAAUCCUAAAUAAAUAAGAAGGACGGAAAGACCCUGUAGAGUUUUAACUAAUUAUUCAUCAUUUUGUUGAUUAUAGUUUUUAUUGGGGCAAUAUUAGAAAAAAAAAAAUCUAAUUAUUUUUUAUUGNUAUAACAAUUGUUUAACCCUNUAAGAGAAAAAAGAAAAACUACCUCAGGGAUAACAGCGUUAUCCUACCAGAGAGAUCUAAUCGAAGGUAGAGAUUGCGACCUCGAUGUUGGACUAAGAGUGCCUCAAAAUGCAGACGUUUUGAAAGGCAGGCCUGUUCGGCUUUUAAUCUCUUACGUGAUCUGAGU
rnacentral:rRNA from 1 species